ensembl:lncRNA
AUUUUUUAAAAAUCAGGCUCAGUGGCUCAGGCGUGUCCAACUCUUUCCCGUGGACUGUCCAUGGACUGCAGCCCUCCAGGCUCCUCUGUUCAUGGGAUUUCCCAGGACCUGCUGGGGUGAUUCAGUAUCUACUGCAACUCUAGCUGGUGGAGAGCCUGCUUUCCCGUCCUGAGUUCCAGAGCCCAUUCUUUAUCCUCUGAAACCGUUCCUGAGACCUUCCAGGAACAUCCAGCUGAACCGGUGGUACCUGCCUCUCAAGAUACAGGAGAGAAGCUGAACCUCUUCCUCGUUAUCAAGAGAAGCAGAUUGCUGACUUUGGGGGACAAGCAAUAAACAACACUGGAACAAGCCUGCCUGGCAAGAAGCUGAACUCAACCACAGGCAGGUAGAAGAGGCAGAAUAAUGUAACACAACAAAAAUGGAACUGGAUUCAUAAAAGAGAUGGAGGGUGUAUCCUAGCUGACUACAUAUUAGGUAUGGGGCCUUAAGCCCUAGACAUAUGAAUGCUUUUAAAUCUUAUUGUCUUCAUCUGUAAAAUAGGGAUUAAAAAGAUCUUUCCCUUGUAGAGUAAGAAUUAAACAAGAGACCACCAAACUCCAUAAAAAUGUUGACCAUAUAUUCAUUCAAAAUAUUUAUGGACCACCUACUGUAUACCAAGCAGUGUUCUUGGC